rnacentral:sRNA from 1 species
GUCAAUAACCCGCGGUUAUAAUCGCAGGCUUGAAAAAGCCUUUGUUGACUAGCCUCAGUAUUCCUGCAUUACGGUAUGCUUAGAGGAUACUACGUUAUCUUUGUCAUCACACCACCGGACGUAGCACCAGAUCCUGUGCUCUGU